GCCACUUCGGACAGGAACGAAGUUCUCAACCCCAGGACAGGCUCACAGGAGGAGAGGCUGCGAAGAGUGGCAAGUGCUAUUACUCAGAUAUGGAGGUCUGCUGUGCCUUCAGCCAUAACCACGUCAUGUUUCCUUGAGCAAGGAGCAGAGACUUCAUAUGUGGGAAACCCUCUCACCAUGUAUGAUUGUAUUGAAAGUAAUGGCUGCAGUCCUGCCCUCACAACAACCAUCUGUCAUUAAUGCCAGGAGGUAGAGGCAUGAACAAACAAGAUAAGGACGGAAGCCUGCCCUAUUUGAAUAACAGUUAGCAGUGACACAUUCCUAGCUUCAAUACAAGAGGUGAUGGAGCACAACACAGCUCUAACAAGCCAGCGAGCUCCAAAGGUCUCCCAUUUGACCAACCUCUCUCUGCUGCUGUGUUUGAUGGACAACCCAAAGAUGAUGGACGGUAGAGAGCUGUCAGCCGUGAAGCACUUGAAGAUACUUUGAUGCUAGUAAUGCCAUUUUCAAAUUAGCCCUGGACUGAGUUAAAUAUCAACAAAAGGGAGUGGGACAGCACUUGUGAAAUCAUCCCUAAGAGAACGAGCGAGAUUUAAUAGUUUGGUGGUUACAGUAACCGCUAUCCUGCAAGAAAAAUCAAUAUCUACACAGUGUUAGAAUCACACCAAGGGCUCCUGGAGCUGAGCCAUUUCAGCGAAGAAUACACCCGGCUUCAUUAGAGUAGAAAGAGUGUGGUAGGAGGUCAGACACACAUGCGCCCUGAGCUCUUUUGUCGGGAAACCAGGAAGAAGCUCUCCUCUCAGGAGCCAAGCAUUUUUUUAAAAGCGUAGAACUUACAGAGCUGGAAGUGACCUUAGCAAUCACUGAGUCCAGCCCCUUCUUUUUCCAGAUGAGGAAAGAGUGGCCCAGAAAGACUACUUGGCUUGCUCCAGUUCAUACAGCGGGCUGGUGAGAUUUCCUCCAUGCAUGCCACUCGUGCCCACUCUUAGAGUUCAUGACUUGGGCCACUGCUGUUCCCUGAGAGCCACCACGGAAGGCAGUGUGCUAGGGAGCAUAAGGAAAGCUGAGCCAGUUCUUGCCCUCUCUCUCACAGCCCGAGAGCAGGUGUGAGCGCGUAACAGGCUGCCUGCACCCAGUGACUAAAGCAGCAGUGUUAGACAACAUCCAAGAGCUGUCCCAGGGCACAACAUAGAUUGUGUGUGUCUACCCUUUCUGCCCUACCAGUGGUGUAGAUCGUAGAUGCACAGGUAUUUCUACCCCAGGUUCUGUGUUGGAAGAAGUCCAAGUUAUACAGGAUCCAAAGAACAUGGAUCCAAAGAUACGCACAGACUGCGUCAUUUGCAUCUCAACCUUGAAUGUAAGAAGCUGCUCUAUCUGUAGCCCUGCACAACCCAAGGAAACGAUUCCCAUUGAGCAUGAGUUUCUGGAACAAGGCCCAGAAAAGGAAGAGGGAGUGCUUUCUCUUUGUGUUCACCAAAUAGUAAAUGUUAAAAUGUGGGAAUUUCUAAAAGUUCAUGAAAAAUGAAAUUAAAUAAGUUUGGUACAAAAAAAUCGCACAAUUUUUUCCCAAGACACAUUGACCAUAACAUUUUUAAAGACCCCUCUCCU